rnacentral:rRNA from 1 species
GACGAACGCUGGCGGCGUGCCUAACGCAUGCAAGUCGAGCGGGGUUGAGGCGAGAGGUAACUCGAACUUCUACCUAGCGGCGGACGGGUGAGUAACGCGUGGGCAACCUGCCUCAAGGUUUGGGAUAACAGCCCGAAAGGGCUGCUAAUACCGGAUAUGCCUAUGGCCUCGCAUGGGGCUAUGAGCAAAGGGGAAAACCCGCCUUGAGAUGGGCCCGCGUCCCAUCAGCUAGUUGGUGAGGUAACAGCUCACCAAGGCGACGACGGGUAGCCGGCCUGAGAGGGUGACCGGCCACACUGGGACUGAGACACGGCCCAGACUCCUACGGGGGGCAGCAGUGGGGGAUCUUGCACAAUGGGCGAAAGCCUGAUGCAGCGACGCCGCGUGAGCGAAGAAGGCCUUCGGGUUGUAAAGCUCUGUCUGGAGGGACGAACAAAAUGACGGUACCUCCGGAGGAAGCCACGGCUAACUACGUG